AAGCCGGCCGGUGGUGGUGGAGGA
rnacentral:miRNA from 1 species